CCUACGGGCGGCAGCAGUGGGGAAUAUUGGACAAUGGGCGAAACCCUGAUCCAGCGACGCCGCGUGAGUGAAGAAGGAUUUCGGUACGUAAAGCUCUAUCAGCAGGGAAGAAAAUGACGGUACCUGACUAAGAAGCCCCAGCUAACUACGUGCCAGCAGCCGCGGUAAUACGUAGGGGGCAAGCGUUAUCCGGAUUUACUGGGUGUAAAGGGAGCGUAGCCGGCAGCGCAAGGUUGGAGUGAAAUGCCGGGGCCCAACCCCGGAACUGCGCUGGAAACUGUGAAGCUUGAGUGCAGGAGAGGUAAGCGGAAUUCCUGGUGUAGCGGUGAAAUGCGUAGAUAUCAGGAGGAACACCGGUGGCGAAGGCAGCUGACUGGACCGUAACUGACGUUGAGGCUCGAAGGCGUGGGGAGCGAACAGGAUUAGAUACCCGUGUAGUC
rnacentral:rRNA from 1 species